ACUUUUGAGAUUUUUCUUCGGUGCCUAACCGUAAAGGAGGGUCCGGUCAACGAUGCAACAGUUAAACAACGCACCCGGAAGGUUAAGGAGUA